GUGCUACUCCCUCCGUCCGAAAAUACUUGUCAUCAAAAUGGAUAAAAAGAGAUGUAUCUAGAACUAAAAUAUGUCUAGAUACAUCCCCUUUUAUCCAUUUUGAUGACAAGUAUUUCCGGACGGAGGAAGUACUAA
rnacentral:pre_miRNA from 1 species